UUACAUUCUAAAUAUAGUAAAACUGGAAUGAUACAGAGAAGCUUAACGUGGCCCCUUUAGCAAGGAUGACAUGCAAAUUCAUGAAGCAUUUCAAAUUUUU
rnacentral:snRNA from 1 species